AACGAACGCUGGCGGCAUGCCUAACACAUGCAAGUCGAACGAAACCUUCGGGUCUUGUGGCGCACGGCGUCGUAACGCGUGGGAACCUGCCCUUAGGUUCGGAAUAACUCCCCGAAAGGGGUGCUAAUACCGGAUCAUGUCUUCUGACCAAAGAUUUAUCGCCUUUGGAUGGGCCCGCGUUGGAUUAGCUAGUUGGUAGGGUAAAAGCCUACCAAGGCGACGAUCCAUAGCUGGUCUGAGAGGAUGAUCAGCCACACUGGGACUGAGACACGGCCCAGACUCCUACGGGAGGCAGCAGUGGGGAAUAGUGGACAAUGGGCGAAAGCCUGAUGCAGCAAGGCCGCGUGAGUGAUGAAGGCAUUAGGGUUGUAAAGCGCUUUUACCCGGGAUGAUAAUGACAGUACCGGGAGAAUAAGCCCCGGCUAACUCCGUG
rnacentral:rRNA from 1 species